rnacentral:rRNA from 1 species
CCCUUAGAUGUUCUGGGCCGCACGCGCGCUACACUGAUGCAUUCAACGAGUCUAAAACCUGGUCUGAUAGGGCUGGGUAAUCUUUUGAAAGUGCAUCGUGAUUGGGAUAGAUGAUUGCAAUUCUUCAUCUUCAACGAGGAAUGCCUAGUAAACGCAAGUCAUCAGCUUGCAUUGAUUACGUCCCUGCCCUUUGUACACACCGCCCGUCGCUCCUACCGAUUGAAUGAUCCGAUGAAUACCAUGGAUUGAGAGUUCGAAUAGGUUCGCCUAUUUCAGCUUCUCGAGAAGGGGAGUAAAUCUUAUCAUUUAGAGGAAGGAGAAGUCGUAACA